rnacentral:rRNA from 1 species
GAUGAACGCUGGCGAGAUGCCUUACACAUGCAAGUCGUACGAGAAUUUUGAAUUCAAGUGGCGGACGGGUGAGUAACACGUAAGAAUUUACCUUUAGGAGGGGGAUAACAACUGGAAACGGUUGCUAAUACCCCAUAUGCUUUCGAGUGAAAUGGAUUUUCUGCCUAAAGAGAAGCUUGCGGCUGAUUAGCUUGUUGGUGAGGUAAUGGCUUACCAAGGCGACGAUCAGUAUCUGGUUUGAGAGGAUGAUCAGACACACUGGAACUGAGACACGGUCCAGACUUCUACGGGAGGCAGCAAGUGGGGAAUUUUCCGCAAUGGGCGAAA